UUUCACUGAUGUGGCGCGUGUGAAUUGGUCCGACUAUAAAGACCGCAAAUCUGCUCACGUCUCUCAUUUUUUGCGACUCUCAAAAUCUCCUCUUUCUCUGCUCACCGUCCGGUCGGUCGGUCGGCUCUUUCGAUUUUACUUCCGGUAGCAGGUGAAUUGAAAUUGCAAGCGCUUGUAUCUCUCUGAGUAUUGUGACCUCUAGAAGAUCGCGUUUUUGUUUCAGAGUUGUGAUUUUCUGUUUUAAAGUUUCUUGUCAAGUUGAGUUGAAGUUGUUGCAUUGAACGCUAGAAUGGAAGGUAACAAGGAUGAGGCUUUAAGGUGCAUUGGUAUUGCCAAGGAGGCAAUUGCAUCUGGCAAUAAGCAGAAAGCACUCAAGUUUAUCAGAAUUGCACGGCGCCUUAACAAUGAUCUAUCUGUGGAAGAUCUUUUGGCUGCAUGUGAAAAUCUGGAGUCACCGACUCCUGAGUCCUCAAGUGAGGUUAGAAAUGUUGAAAAUAUGAAAAAUGACAUGAGUCGUGUUAAGUCUGAUGAGGUAUCCGAUGGGGAGAGGAACUAUACUGACGAACAUGUGCAGUUGAUUAGGCAAAUUAAGAUUAAGAAGGACUAUUACGCGAUUCUUGGUCUAGAGAAGGGUUGUUCAGUUGAGGAGAUUAGGAAGUCAUACAGGAAACUGUCAUUGAAAGUUCAUCCCGACAAAAAUAAAGCUCCAGGCUCUGAAGAGGCAUUUAAGAAAGUAUCCAAGGCAUUUAAGUGUUUGAGUGAUGAUGAUUCAAGGAGGCAGUAUGACCAGACAGGUUUGGCUGAGGAUUUCGAGUAUAAUCAGCAGCAUAAUGUCAGGCGCAGGAGGAGAACUGGGCACAGCUAUUAUGAUGAUGAUUUUGAUCCUGAUGAGAUUUUCAGAGCGUUUUUUGGGCGUUCCGAUAUGUUUAGGACAGCUCAUGUUUACAGGACAAGAACAAAUGCUGCUCCCCAGAGAGAGGAUUUAGGUUCCACUGGGCCCAACUUCCUUCUCCUCCUUCAGUUAUUGCCAUUUUUAAUCAUCAUUUUACUUGCUUAUCUUCCUUUCUCGGAGCCUGAGUAUUCUUUGCAGAAGAACUACCAAUAUCAGUUUAGGAAGAUGACUGAAGAACAUGGAGUAGAAUAUUUUGUUAAAUCACAUGAAUUUGAUCAGAAGUAUCCUCUUGGUAGUCCUGAUCGAGAUAACAUUGAAGACCAUGUUAUUAGGGAUUACAAAAAUAUGCUUGGUCGUUACUGUCAUAUAGAACUCCAGAGGCGACAAUGGAACAGGAAGUACCCAACUCCUCACUGUGACAGGCUUCAAUCUUUUGGAGUAGCAUGAGUUUUUUCCUAUGUGCAAUUUUUGGAGCAAAUGCAGCACCAUCUUGUAUUUCAUGCACAUCUGAAUGAUAUCUGCUAGUGUGCACGAAUAUGUACAGAGAGACCCUUCCCACUUCCAAGUUAUUUCAGAUUCUUUUAGUGCAAAAAGUAGCCUAAAAUGUUGUGAUUUCUCUAUUCAAGGUCUGUUGGCUAUAGAUGGGAUGAAGCUUUCAGGUGCUAGUUGAACCUUUUUGUAUGCUAAGAAAAGGCUGGUUUGGCAGAUAAGGCAAGUAAUGAAGCUUUGUUUCCACAAGUUUUGACCAACUAUCGUUCUCGUAUUGUUAUGGAUGUCUGUUCACUUCCCAACACCCAUCUUAAUGACCAAGAAAGAAUCGAGGCUGCUGACACCUUAUUUACACUUUCUUUUUUCGCAGUAUUGUUAUUUUUGCAGUGCUCGGUACUCCCCAUCUAUUAAUCGCUUCCAUAACCUGCUAAUAGAGCUGGUUAGUCGCAGGAAACUGAAAGGAAUGCAAAUAUGAUGAAAUAAGCGUAACAUAUUUUCCAGUGCUUUAUAAUACUUUGCCUCGAGAUAGAUACCUUGUAAUCUUGUAUACUAUAGCUAGUCGUAUGCAUAUUUCAGACUGUUAAACUGUAUGGUGAGUGAAAUAAGCACGCGAAACUUUCCAGAAGUUCCUGAUUCUCAGUUGUUUCACAAAGCUAGCCAACGCGUCUCCAGGUUUGUAUGCACAACAUGCACUUUAUUACCCUAUGAUCUCCGUUCUGAUAUGUAUGACACUAUUUCCUUGUUACGUUUGUUGAAAUCAUUUUGAAACAAUCAAAUUUUAUA